GCUGUGGCACCCCAGCCUUGAGCUGCCCGCCCUGUGCAGGAGUUGAGGCUGAAUCCCUCCUGAUUUUAGCCGCAGAUGGGUGCAUUAAGUACCAGUCUUCUGUCCCCUGGAGAAGCAAGAGGAACAACAGCCCCAUGGCUGAAGUCCUGAGCUGGGCCUCAGCCCUGAGCUUCACUGCUGCUCUGCCAGGGUCUGACAGGAAAAACCAUCACCCUGAUCCAGACACUGAAAAUUGUCAACUGAUGGGACAAAGAGCUGAGACACUUGGCUGUACUAGGACACUAAAACAUAGGGUUUAGCUAAAGACUAUUUCCCCGAUACGGAGGCUUACACCUGCCAAACCCUGUAGCAUUCUUGGGAGGCUUUUCUAUCUCUCUUCUCUGUUUCCAGAUUUCCACGCAUUAUGGUAUUCCUUUUGACUUCUUCUGCAAGCUAGCUCUGGCUCUGCCUUCGCUUCCCCUAUGCUUUGGUGUGGGUUCCCGGUGUGAGCUGCUGCCUGGGGGCUGGUUCUGCACCUCUGCCUCCAGCUGCUGCUUGGAGGCUCCUCUUGGAUGUUGUGACUGACCUGCUUUUUCUCUCACUGUAUCUCUUUCCCUCCAACCUGUCUCCUGCGUUCUCCCUUCUCCCCCCUCCAUCC